rnacentral:rRNA from 1 species
UACGUAGGUGGCAAGCGUUGUCCGGAUUUACUGGGCGUAAAGAGCGCGCAGGCGGUCGUUUAAGUCGAAUGUGAAAGCCCCCGGCUCAACUGGGGAGGGUCAUUCGAUACUGAUCGACUUGAAGGCAGGAGAGGGAAGUGGAAUGCCGGGUGUAGUGGUGAAAUGCGUAGAGAUGCGGCGGAACACCGAUGGCGAAGGCAGCCCCCUGGGCUGAGAUUGACGCUCAGGCACGAAAGCGUGGGGAGCAAACAGG